UUGGGACAACGGUGUGAUAAGUGAAAAUGACUCACUCGCGUCCGUAGUGACCCUUUGCGGGGAGGUGGCUCACAGUCGUCCCCGUCCGGGACAAAAAGAUCUCUAGUCUGACCUCAAAUCAGGUAGGACCACCCGCUGAACUUAAGCAUAUCAAUAAGCGGAGGAAAAGAAACUAACAGGAUUCCCCUAGUAACGGCGAGUGAAGCGGGAAGAGCUCAAAUUUGUAAUCUGGCGGUCACCCGGCCGUCCGAGUUGUAGUCUGGAGAAGCGUCUUCCGUGCCGGACCGCGUACAAGUCCCCUGGAACGGGGCGUCGUAGAGGGUGAGAAUCCCGUCUCUGACGCGGGCUGCCGGUGCUCUGUGAUGCGCUCUCGAAGAGUCGAGUUGUUUGGGAAUGCAGCUCAAAAUGGGUGGUAAAUUCCAUCUAAAGCUAAAUACGGGCAAAAGACCGAUAGCGAACAAGUACCGUGAGGGAAAGAUGAAAAGCACUUUGGAAAGAGAGUUAAACAGUACGUGAAAUUGUUGAAAGGGAAACGCUCGGAGUCAGUCGCGUCUUCCGAGACUCAGCCGGGUCCCACCCGGUGCACUUCUCGGUGUGACGGGCCAGCAUCGAUUUCGACCGUCGGAGAAAGGCUCUGGGAAUGUGGCACCUCCGGGUGUGUUAUAGCCCCCAGUCUUAUGCGACGGUCGGGAUCGAGGACCGCAGCGCGCCCUUUGCCGGGCCGGGGUUCGCCCACGUAACGCGCUUAGGAUGCUGGCGUAAUGGCUUCGAGCGACCCGUCUGG
rnacentral:rRNA from 1 species